CAGCAGCCGCGGUAAUACGUAGGGGGCGAGCGUUGUCCGGAAUUAUUGGGCGUAAAGGGUGCGUAGGCGGCCUUAUAAGUCAGAUGUGAAAUACCAGGGCUUAACUCUGGGGGUGCAUUUGAAACUAUUUGGCUUGAGUGCAGGAGAGGAAAGUGGAAUUCCUAGUGUAGCGGUGAAAUGCGUAGAGAUUAGGAGGAACACCAGUGGCGAAGGCGACUUUCUGGACUGUAACUGACGCUGAUGCACGAAAGCGUGGGUAGCGAACAGGAUUAGAUACCCUGGUAGUCCACGCCGUAAACGAUGGAUACUAGGUGUAGGGGGUAUCGACCCCCUCUGUGCCGGAGUUAACGCAAUAAGUAUCCCGCCUGGGGAGUACGUGCGCAAGCAUGAAACUCAAAGGAAUUGACGGGGACCCGCACAAGCAGCGGAGCAUGUGGUUUAAUUCGAAGCAACGCGAAGAACCUUACCAGGGCUUGACAUCCCACUGACUGGUGUAGAGAUACAUCUUUCCUUCGGGACAGUGGAGACAGGAGGUGCAUGGCC
rnacentral:rRNA from 1 species